CCUACGGGAGGCAGCAGUGAGGAAUAUUUGUCCAUGGUCGUAAGACUGAACCAGCCAAGUAGCGUGCAGGAUGACUGCCCUAUGGGUUGUAAACUUCUUUUAUGCGGGGAUAAAAUGAGUCACGUGUGACGUUUUGUAGGUACCGCAUGAAUAAGGAUCGGCUAAUUCCGUGCCAGCAGCCGCGGUAAUACGGAGGGUCCGGGCGUUAUCCGGAUUUCUUGGGUUUAAAGGGAGCGUAGUCCGCUUGUUACGAGUGCUGUGAAAUUUGGCGGCUCAACCAUGGAACUGCGGCGCGAACUGGCGUGCUUGAGUGCACGGAAGGUAGGCGGAAUUCGUGGUGUAGCGGUGAAAUGCUUAGAUAUCACGAAGAACCCCGAUUGCGAAGGCAGCAUACUGAAGCGUUACUGACGCUGAAGCUCGAAGGUGCGGGUAUCGAACAGGAUUAGAUACCCCGGUAGUC
rnacentral:rRNA from 1 species